UAUUGGGCAUUCAACUAAUACCAGCACCACCUAAAAACCCUUAAACAAUACUGAGCAAUUCUAUAUAACUAUAGAAGAUUUUAUGUUAAAACUAGUAACAAGAAGAAGAACUUCUCCUACAAUGCAAGUGUAGAUCAGACAGGACAACCCGCUGAUAAUUAACGCAUAUGAGCAAAAAGUAGCAACCCAUCAAGAAAACCCUACUACACCACACGUUAACCUAACACCAGAGCAUCCCAAGAAAGAUUUAAAGAAAAAGAAGGAACUCGGCAAAUAUUAACCUCGCCUGUUUACCAAAAACAUCGCCUCUUGAAUAAACAUAAGAGGUCCAGCCUGCCCAGUGACCAUGUUCAACGGCCGCGGUAUCCUAACCGUGCGAAGGUAGCGUAAUCACUUGUUCUUUAAAUAAGGACUAGUAUGAACGGCAUCACGAAGGUUACACUGUCUCCUCUUUCUAAUCAGUGAAACUAAUCUCCUCGUGAAGAAACGAGGAUAAACAUAUAAGACGAGAAGACCCUAUGGAGCUUCAAACUACAAAGCACCUGCCCCAGUAUUACUUAAUUCCAGAAAACCACAUCUACCCAGGCAAGAUGACCUUUAGUUUUAGGUUGGGGUGACCGCGGAGCAAAAAAAAACCUCCACAUUGAAAGGAGACCACUCCUUAGCCAAGAGCCACACCUCUAAGCACCAACAAAAAGACAUCAAUUGACCCAAUAUUUUUGAUCAACGAACCAAGUUACCCUAGGGAUAACAGCGCAAUCCACUUCAAGAGCCCCUAUCGACAAGUGGGUUUACGACCUCGAUGUUGGAUCAGGGUAUCCCAGUGGUGCAGCCGCUACUAAAGGUUCGUUU
rnacentral:rRNA from 1 species